CGGGGGGCAGCAGUGGGGAAUAUUGGGCAAUGGAGGGAACUCUGACCCAGCGACGCCGCGUGCGGGAUGAAGGCCUUCGGGUUGUAAACCGCUUUCAGCAAGGAAGAAGCGAAAGUGACGGUACUUGCAGAAGAAGCACCGGCUAACUAUGUGCCAGCAGCCGCGGUAAUACAUAGGGUGCAAGCGUUGUCCGGAAUUAUUGGGCGUAAAGAGCUCGUAGGUGGUUCGUCACGUCGGAUGUGAAAAUCUGGGGCUUAACCCCAGACCUGCAUUCGAUACGGGCGAGCUAGAGUGUGGUAGGGGAGACUGGAAUUCCUGGUGUAGCGGUGGAAUGCGCAGAUAUCAGGAGGAACACCAAUGGCGAAGGCAGGUCUCUGGGCCAUUACUGACACUGAGGAGCGAAAGCGUGGGGAGCGAACAGGAUUAGAUACCCGAGU
rnacentral:rRNA from 1 species